rnacentral:rRNA from 1 species
GAUGAACGCUAGCUACAUGCUUAACACAUGCAAGUCGAGGGGAAACGACAUCGAAUUCUUGCUUUUGAUGUGCGUCGACCGGCGUACGGGUGAGUAACGUGUAUUCAAUCUGCCCAUCACUUGGGUAUAACAUUGCGAAAGUAAUACUAAUACCUAAUGUCAUCCCACGAAGACAUCUGAAUGGGAUUAUAGUUUUAUCGGUGAUGGAUGGGGAUGCGUCUGAUUAGCUUGUUGGUGAGGUAACGGCUCACCAAGGCAACGAUCAGUAGGGGAUCUGAGAGGAAGGUACACUAGAAUGGAAACAAGACACAGACCAAAAUGGUACGGGAGGGAGGAGAGAGUAAUAUUAUGGAAGGAACGAGAACCUGAAACAGCCAAGUAGGGUGCAAGAGGACGGGGCUAUGAGUAGUAAACUACUUUUAAAAGAGAAUAAAGUGAGUAACGAGAGACUUUUUGAAGGUACCUAAUGAAAAAGGACCGGCUAAGUCCGUG